ensembl:snRNA U6 U6 spliceosomal RNA
GUGCUCAUUUCGGCAGCACACAUACUAAAAUUGGAAUGAUACAGAGAAAAUUAGCCUGGGCACUGCACAAGGAUAACUCAAAAAUAUGUGAAGACUUUCAUCAUUUU